UAGUAUUCUAUGGUGUAAAUGUACCACAGUUUUUUUUAUCCUCUCAUCUGCUGAUUGGCACUUGGACUGUUUCCAGAUCUUAGCUAUUGUAAGUUGUGCUGCUUUGAAAAUAGGGCUUCAUAUAUUGUUUCCGAUUGGUGUUUUGGGUGUCUUAGGAUUUAUUCUUAGAAGUGGGAUCACUGGGUCAAAUGGCAGUUCCAUUUUUAAUUUAUUGAGAUAACUCCAUACUGUUUUUCACAAU